rnacentral:rRNA from 1 species
AUACGGAGGAUCCGAGCGUUAUCCGGAUUUAUUGGGUUUAAAGGGAGCGUAGGCGGGAGAUCAAGUCAGCUGUGAAAUGUAGACGCUCAACGUCUGCACUGCAGUUGAAACUGGUUUUCUUGAGUGCGUAAGGGGCAGGCGGAAUUCGUCGUGUAGCGGUGAAAUGCUUAGAUAUGACGAAGAACUCCGAUCGCGAAGGCGGCUUGCCGGGCCGCAACUGACGCUGAAGCUCGAAGGUGCGGGUAUCGAACAGGAUUAGAUACCCUGGUAGUCCGCACAGUAAACGAUGGAUACUCGCUGUCGGCGAUAUACGGUCGGUGGCCAAGCGAAAGCGUUAAGUAUCCCACCUGGGGAGUACGCCGGCAACGGUGAAACUCAAAGGAAUUGACGGGG